CCUACGGGAGGCAGCAGUAGGGAAUCUUUCACAAUGGGCGAAAGCCUGAUGGAGCAACGCCGCGUGCAGGAUGAAGGCCUUCGGGUUGUAAACUGCUUUUAUAAGCGAGAAAUAUGAUGGUAACUUAUGAAUAAGGAUCGGCUAACUACGUGCCAGCAGCCGCGGUCAUACGUAGGAUCCGAGCAUUAUCCGGAGUGACUGGGAGUAAAGAGUUGCGUAGGUGGCAUAAUAAGUAGCUAGUGAAAUCUGGUGGCUCAACCAUUCAGACUAUUAGCUAAACUGUUAAGCUCGAGACCGUUAGGGGUAAUUGGAAUUUCUAGUGUAGGAGUGAAAUCCGUAGAGAUUAGAAGGAACACCAAUAGCGUAGGCAGGUUGCUGGGACGGUUCUGACACUAAGGCACGAAAGCGUAGGGAGCAAACGGGAUUAGAUACCCGUGUAGUC
rnacentral:rRNA from 1 species